rnacentral:sRNA from 1 species
CCCUAGCCCCGAUAGAAGUGGAAAUCCUUUUUAUUUUUUUCUUUAAAAAAUAAAAAGAUUGGAACGUAUAGCGGGAUCAGCU